rnacentral:rRNA from 1 species
GGUUUGAUCAUGGCUCAGAUUGAACGCUGGCGGGAUGCUUUACGCAUGCAGUCGAACGGCAGCACGGACUUCGGUCUGGUGGCGAGUGGCGAACGGGUGAGUAAUGUAUCGGAACGUGCCUAGUGGCGAAGUAACUACGUGGCGUAGCUAAUACCGCAUACGCCCUUUGGGGAAAAGCGGGGACCUUCGGGCCUCGCACUAUUAAGCGGCCGAUAUCGGAUUAGCUAGUUGGUGGGGUAACGGCUCACCGCAAGGCAUACGAUCCGUAGCUGGUUUUGAGGAAGGCGACAAAUACACUGGGACUGAGACAGCCCAGACUCCUGCAGGAGGCGCGGUGGGGAAUUUUGGACGAUAAAUCCUGAUCCAGCCAUCCCGCGUGUGCGAUGAAGGCCUUCAGGUUUAUAAAGCACUUUUGGCAGGAAAGAAACGGCACGGGAUAAUACCCCGUACAACAAACUGACACCUGCAGAAUAAGCACCGGCUAACUACGUACCAGCAGCCGCGGUAAUACGUAGGGUGCAAGCGUUAAUCAGAAUUACUGGGCGUAAAGCGUGCGCAGGCGGUUCGGAAAGAAAGAUGUGAAAUCCAGAGCGCCUUUGGAACUGCAUUUUUAACUACCGAGCUGAAGAGAUAUGUCAGGAGGUGGAAUUCCGCGCGUAGCAGUGAAAUGCGUAGAUAUGGCGGAGGAACACCGAUGGCGAAGGCAGCCUCCUGGGAUAACACUGACGCUCAUGCCGAAAGCGUGGGGAGCAAACAGUUGAAUGCCCUGGUAGUCCACGCCCUAAACGAUGUCGCUAAGCUGUUGGGGCCUUCGGGCCUUGGUAGCGCAGCUAACGCGUGAAGUUGACCGCCUGGGGAGAUACGGUCGCAAGACAAAACUCAAAGGAAUUGACGGGGACCGCACAAGCGGUGGAUGAUGUGGAUUAAUUCGAUGCAACGCGAAAAACCUUACCUACCCUUGACAUGUCUGAUCCGAAGAGAUUUGGGAGUGCUCGCAAGAGAACCGGAACACAGGUGCUGCAUGGCUGUCGUCAGCUCGUGUGUCGUGAGGUGUUGGGUUAAGUCCCUGUGUAGGCACAGCCCUUGUCAUUAGUUGCUACGAAAGGGCACUCUAAUGAGACUGCCGGUGACAAACCGGAGGAAGGUGGGGAUGACGUCAAGUCCUCAUGGCCCUUAUGGGUAGGGCUUCACACGUCAUACAAUGGUCGGGACAGAGGGUCGCCAACCCGCGAGGGGAGCCAAUCCCGACCCGAUCGUAGUCCGGAUCGCAGUCUGCAACUCGACUGCGUGAAGUCCGGAAUCGUAGUAAUCGCGGAUCAGCAUGUCGCGGUGAAUACGUUCGGGUCUUGUACACGCCCGUCACACCAUGGGAGUGGGUUUUACCAGAAAUACGUUAGCCUAACCCGUAAGGAAGGCGAUUACCACGGUAAGUUCAUGACUGAGGUGAAGUCAUUGCUCGAAGUAA